CACAGUGCUGGGGCCUUGGCCUCCUUCAGCUGGGUGGAACUUGCAGAGGGUCCUGAGCCAUAGCGGCUGGCAGCUGGGUCGGGCAAGCUCUGUCUGAGGGAGCCCGGUGUGGAGUCUGUAUCCCAAGCUGGAGAGGGGACCCCAAGAGGCUCUGGGGGUGGGAGGAGGCUGGGGUCAGAGCUCGGGUGGCCUGGAUGUCCUUGGCUCGUGGGAUCUGCGGCAAGGGUCUUCCGUGGGGUGGUGGGUGGAGGACAGUGGCUAGGGAUGCCCUGGGCAGCAGCCAUAAGUAUGUGUGCGGUGUGUGGCCAGUGGUGGGUGUGCAGGGUGGGGACAGCCGGAGAGGGGCCUGUGCUGUUACUUCAUGGAGACAAAUGGUUUUGCUGGCCUUGGGGUCAUGGCCAAGCGCAGGGUUGCUUGGUGACACUGGUCACCUGUCUUUUGGGGGACUCAGGGGUCUUGGGGCAGGUUCCCUCUCCAUCCAUGCCAGUGCAGCCUCUGGGCUCCCUGCCAGGCUCUGUGUCUGCACCCUGUGCUGGCACCAAAGUGCUCAGAUGGUGCCUGGAACCAGGACAGUGGGCACCUGGGACUGGGUCUCCCAUGCUGGCCCUGCACAUGCUGGAGAUGUGGCAAGAACUCAGCCCGGGAACCUGGUCACCUUGCCUGCUCCAGCCCCUGGUCCUCUCCCCAGCCUGCUCACCAAUGCACAGUGGGGCUCACUUCGCCCUUUAUUCAUCAGUAAACAGUGAGGAGGGCCUGCCGCUCAUCUCCUGGCCUCAGGCCCUCUCUCCUCCUACUCAAGCUCCCCAGGACAAAACCAGAAGGACCAGGAGCCGCUCCUGCAGAAGGGACAAAGCCCCCAGGUUGCCCUUGCCCAGCAGAGCUGCCAAAGGGAAAGCUUCUGUCUGUGUCUGAACAGAGCUUGGAACCGCCCGGAAAUGCCCCUGCCCGUGUCUGCCGCUUCCUCGCAUCCGGCCCGGGGGCUGCAUGUCUGCCUGGACCCGCAGGCG
rnacentral:lncRNA from 1 species